rnacentral:sRNA from 1 species
UGUGGUGGUACAUUGUUACAAACUUUUAAGACAUUUUCUUCUUUUGUUUCUGUUUUGGGGGUAUUUUACUCAACUAAUGUCUUAGUUCAUUAUCUGUUGAUGAAACACAAGUUGGCAUAAAGAUAAGUCUGUUUGGGUCGUGGUCCUAACACCAGGAAGCAGAGAGGAAGCAUUUGCUUGGCACUGGGGGAACACCUCAUACCUUGGAGUUACCCAGGUCCCUCUUUCCCCACUUAUAAAGCCACUAAGGUCACCAUGGAGUCCAUCCUCCUGAACGCUCUAAUCCUAAAUCCCUCACAGUGACUGUUGGCUUAUAAACAAUUCUGUUGGACUCGUUCCAGUGAUCUAACAAAAGUUAUGUCGUCACCUGCCGCCAUUAUUACCUGUGCUGUUUCCAGGCAGGGGUGGCCUGGCAGUAUGUGUGUCGCAUGGCAUGAUUUCUCAGGCGGACACCUUGGCAUGGCCCCACCAGGAAAGGCUUUCCGGAAACGGCUUGAGUCACUUAACAGAGAAAACCGUUUUAUCGCUGCUGCAUCCAGGAUGCCGGAGGAUUCUUUCAUUUUGAAGGCUGGGCGUUGAUUUGAGGAUGAGACUGGUGGGGGCUGGGAGGCUGGCGGUACUGUUGGGAGUCGGAGCUGGGUUGCGCUGCUGCUUUCCCAAAGCUCUGGGCACUGUGAUUGCUCCCAGUGGGACUUACAUUUCAGGGAAGCAAAAAAAAAAAAAAAUCACUGAGAGCCGAGCUAAGAUGUCGUGUAAUGUGUCCCCAGUGCUCUUCAUCAAUGCAGACCCGGGUCUCAUAUUAAAAUGUUUUGUUCCCCUCCAGUUGAUCACAUUUUCAUUUCUUAAGUAGCGAGCGCAUGCUCUUCCUGCCCCCUCGGGAAAUCAGUCCUAUUU